GGUGUUUAUUAGGUAUUGAAAUUAUCAUUUAUUAUAUGACAACCUCGUUGUGUCUUUCAAAUCAAUGGUCAGAUUGAUCAAGCCACACUCGGGUCUGAAUAUUUAUUUGUUAAAUACACUUAGUAUGAUCAUAUUAAUGGUUGGAUCUAACUGAAAUUUUUAAUGGAGAUGCCACAUGCCUAUUGAAGAGAAAUCUGAGGCAAAACAUAUUACUAAAAAUUAUUUGGAGAAAUAAUUGAUUAAAAACCUAUCCAUAGAUGCACAG
rnacentral:lncRNA from 1 species